CCUACGGGGGGCAGCAGUCGAGAAUCAUUCACAAUGGGGGAAACCCUGAUGGUGCGACGCCGCGUGGGGGAAUGAAGGUCUUCGGAUUGUAAACCCCUGUCAUGUGGGAGCAAAUUAAAAAGAUAGUACCACAAGAGGAAGAGACGGCUAACUCUGUGCCAGCAGCCUCGGUAAUACAGAGGUCUCAAGCGUUGUUCGGAAUCACUGGGCGUAAAGCGUGCGUAGGCUGUUUCGUAAGUCGUGUGUGAAAGGUGCGGGCUCAACCCGCGGACGGCACAUGAUACUGCGAGACUAGAGUAAUGGAGGGGGAACCGGAAUUCGCGGUGUAGCAGUGAAAUGCGUAGAUAUCGAGAGGAACACUCGUGGCGAAGGCGGGUUCCUGGACAUUAACUGACGCUGAGGCACGAAGGCCAGGGGAGCGAAAGGGAUUAGAUACCCGUGUAGUC
rnacentral:rRNA from 1 species